GAUGAAGAACGCAGUGAAAUGCGAUAAGUAAUGUGAAUUGCAGAAUUCAGUGAAUCAUCGAAUCUUUGAACGCACAUUGCGCCCGCCAGUAUUCUGGCGGGCAUGCCUGUUCGAGCGUCAUUACAACCCUCAGGCCCCCGGGCCUGGCGUUGGGGAUCGGCGGAAGCCCCCUGCGGGCACAACGCCGUCCCCCAAAUACAGUGGCGGUCCCGCCGCAGCUUCCAUUGCGUAGUAGCUAACACCUCGCAACUGGAGAGCGGCGCGGCCACGCCGUAAAACACCCAACUUCUGAAUGUUGACCUCGAAUCAGGUAGGAAUACCCGCUGAACUUAAGCAUAUCAAAGCGAGGA
rnacentral:misc_RNA from 1 species